rnacentral:rRNA from 1 species
GAUCCUGGCUCAGGAUGAACGCUGGCGGCGUGCCUAACACAUGCAAGUCGAGCGAGAAGUCAUGGAUGGAAUCUUCGGAGGAAAGAAAUGAUGGAAAGCGGCGGACGGGUGAGUAACGCGUAGGUAACCUGCCCCAUACAGAGGGAUAGCCACUGGAAACGGUGAUUAAUACCUCAUGACACUUUCUCUUCGCAUGGAGGGAAGGUCAAAGAUUUAUCGGUAUGGGAUGGACCUGCGU